rnacentral:lncRNA from 1 species
GACACGUGACCAGAAGUUAGGGGCUGCAGCGGCGCUGGCUUUAGGUGAACGACGUGAAAAUUACUUUUCCCACUGAAACACACCCAAGUAUAUGCCCAGCCUUCAUGAAAGUGAACAGAGAAACGAAGCGCCUUUAUGUGGGUGGCCUUAGCCAGGACAUUUCUGAGGCAGACCUACAAAAUCAGUUCAGCAGAUUUGGAGAAGUUUCGGAUGUGGAGAUCAUCACACGGAAAGAUGACCAAGGAAACCCACAGAAAGUUUUUGCAUAUAUCAACAUCAGUGUAGCAGAAGCGGACCUGAAAAAAUCCAUUUUUCACGUUAUCCAGAGGGACAGCAGUGAUGAAGAGAAUUCCAGUAUCGUAUAACUCAGCAGGUUUAGGUCCAUUCCAUUUGGCAUCAGCAGACAUGGUAGCACUUUACUGGUAUGUCUGUUUUAAAUAAAACAAAAUGGAAAGGUGGAACAUUACAAAUUCAACUAGCAAAAGAAAGCUUUCUGCACAGCAGCAGUUGCCAGCCUACUGUGUACAGGCACUAGAGCCCCAUGCUGAGCAGGUUGAGCACACAGUGCUGCUGCUUGGAGUAUCUGCGUGGAUAUGCCUGAGAAGCAUGGGUCUGAUGGUUAUUCUGGGACAUAAAGGAGACAGACCAGAGGCAAAGAGGCCAGUGAGGACUGCUCUGUGCAGUUGUCCAGGCCUGAAGAAGGUGGCGGUGAUUUGAAUCAGAAGAGGUGGCAUUCUCUUCAUUAGGAGGAUAU